GNANUGAGGAUGGCGGACGGGUGAGUAACGCGUAAGGAACUUGCCUCUUGGUCUGGGACAACUGUUGGAAACGACAGCUAAUACCGGAUAUUAUGAGAUUCUCGCAUGGGAAACUUAUGAAAGCUAUAUGCGCCAAGAGAGAGCCUUGCGUUCCAUUAGCUAGUUGGUGGGGUAACGGCCCACCAAGGCGACGAUGGAUAGCCGGCCUGAGAGGGUGAACGGCCACAAGGGGACUGAGACACGGCCCUUACUCCUACGGGAGGCAGCAGUGGGGAAUAUUGGACAAUGGGCCACAAGCCUGAUCCAGCAAUUCUGUGUGCACGAUGAAGGUCUUCGGAUUGUAAAGUGCUUUCAGUUGGGAAGAAGAAAGUGACGGUACCAACAGAAGAAGCGACGGCUAAAUACGUGCCAGCAGCCGCGGUAAUACGUAUGUCGCAAGCGUUAUCCGGAUUUAUUGGGCGUAAAGCGCGUCUAGGCGGAAAAAUAAGUCUGAUGUUAAAAUGCGGGGCUCAACUCCGUGNUGCGUUGGAAACUGUUUUUCUAGAGUACUGGAGAGGUGGGCGGANCUACAAGUGUAGAGGUGAAAUUCGUAGAUAUUUGUAGGAAUGCCGAUGGAGAAGUCAGCUCACUGGACAGAUACUGACGCUGAAGCGCGAANCGUGGGGAGCAAACAGGA
rnacentral:rRNA from 1 species